UUACACCAAGAGAUUAAGUUAUAUUUUAAGGUAAAAAGAUAGUUAGGCUUAAAAUAAUUGAUAUUGAUGUUUAUUGACCAUUUAUACUAAGGUAAAAUUUUUAUAUAAAUAGCUAAAUCAAAUACAACAUCAUUGCUGAAGCUGUGAUAAUUAUGAGGGAAACUGGGAUUAGAUACCCCAUUAUUCAUAAUUGUAAAUCUAAUUAAAUUUACCAGAGUACUAUGAAUAAGAAUACUUGAGAUUCUAAUGUAGAGAUUUAAAACUCAAAGGGCUUGGCGGUGUUUUAGACCUAUCAGGGGAACCUGUCUCGUAAUCGACAAUCCACGUUAAACCUAACCUCGCUUUGUACACAGUUUGUAUACCGUCGUCGUCAGGUAACUUUUAAAAAACUAGAAGUUAGCAAUAUAAAUUACUAUAAAUUUAAACGUCAGAUCAAGGUGCAGCUAAUAGUGAGGAGAGGAUGGGUUACAAUUAUUUUAUUCGUAAUCACGGACAACUUAAUGAAAAAAGGUUUAAAGGAGGACUUGAAAGUAAAAUAGAAUAUAUAAGCAAUUUGAAUAUGGCUCUG
rnacentral:rRNA from 1 species